rnacentral:lncRNA from 1 species
UAUAAUUGCACCUUCACACCAAACUACUAAAGAAAAUGUUGAUAAAGAAGACAUCAAGGAUUUGUUUUGUCAAACUGCAGAGAACCUCUGCUCAAGCAUGCUCCCCACAUCUUAGUUCUGAUAUUUUAAAAGGUGUUUUGAUUUUACUGUCUCCACCCAUAUGGCGCUUCAUUAUGCUGUCCACAUGACACCUUCUAUCCCUGACAUAUCUCAUCCUUCAUGUAAUGAUGAUUACCAGCC